UACGAGAGGUGCAAGCGUUGUUCGGAAUUACUGGGCGUAAAGCGUACGUAGGCGGAUUGGAAAGUCAGAGGUGAAAUCCCAGGGCUCAACCUUGGAACUGCCUUUGAAACUCCUGGUUUUGAGGUCGUGAGAGGUGAGUGGAAUUUUGAGUGUAGAGGUGAAAUUUGUAGAUAUUUGGAGGAACACUAGUGGCGAAGGCGGCUCACUGGUAUGAUACUGACGUUGAGGUGCGAAAGCGUGGGGAGUAAACAGG
rnacentral:rRNA from 1 species